GACGGGUCGAAAGCAGUCCUGGGUAACGAUUUAUAUAUAUCUAAAGUGCUUGAAGAAUCUAUUCUGACUAAAUGACUAAAAUGAGAGCUACAAAACUGAGGUCCUAAGAAUGUAGGACAACUCAACAGUGCUUUUCAGCGGGAGGCAAGCUUGGGCUGAAUUUGGACCUAAGAAAGAGGAAGAUGUAGAAAGUGGAAGGACGCCUGUGACAGGGACCGCCACCUGAGCCUAGCCAUGGCCACUGCAGUUACACUUCACUCCUUCCUGACAGGAAUGAGCCGUGGCUGGAAUCUCUGCAGAGUGCAUUCGUCUUCUGAGAUGUCCAAGGAGGUGUGGCUACUCCCUGCUCCAUUUCUUCUUCAGCUACAGUGAGAUGCCAGACCUUUGGGGAAUUUGGUGGGAGGCAGCAUAGGAGUCUGGUUUCUAUUCCUCACAUCUAGACUGCAACAACAGAUGUUGGAGCACAGGAUCAGGAAAGAGAGCACUCCAAGGCCUGGUUUUCCUGAAGCCAGGAUGGGAUCAAGUCCCUAUUGUUCACCUGCUCUUGGAAGUCCCUUGCAAACCAGCCCUAAUGUAGAAGCUGUUAACCAUGGUUGCUCUGUCCAGAACCACAUUUAAACCGAAGGCCACAUGAUAAUGACUGCACUAGCACAGUUGCAGAACAUUGCUGAUCGUAGAGAAGACAGGCACCGUGGACCCCAGUGCCAGGCAGCACACUUCAUUCACAAAGAGAUAGGACUGGCCUCAUACUCCCAGUGGUCCUUGCUGUUCCUGUCUGGCCAUCUUGACAGCAUCUUCGGCAUGUGUUAAGACUGUUAAUCCCAAACCCAAUGUUCUGUUCACAGACAGAGGGAUCUUGGUCCUAGACACUCCGAUUAGUGCAGGAUCUGUGUCUUCUUGAGCUUCUCAUCCUGGUGCUCUGCCUUGUGUAGCUUGUCCCUGUGGGUUUCUCAUUAAUGUUCUCCUUGACUGUGUAUCUCUCAGGCAUGUGAAGGCUCUCUCCUUGCCCUGUCCAAUGUACUAGGUCACACCUGUAUAUGUACAUGCCCAGCUCCAACACAGGGACAGGGAACAGGAGGGUGGGAUCCCAGUAACCUGGUCCUCCAUCUCCCUCUCCUUGGAUGUGAUGAUAGUGUGCUUGCAGGAGUCUUCCCAUCCCCUCUGUCUAAUUUACUGCUUGCUUUCCUCUGGACCUUGCUUUUCCUCUGGUGUUGACUUUAUUUCAACACCCCAGGGCUUCACAGAGUACAUGCACCCAGGAAACACCCAUUGAUGUGUGACCCCCAUCUAGUAACCAGCUCUUCUACAAGGAAAGCCCCAGAACAGAGAGUUCUGUUUUCCUCAUCUUCAGAUACUAGAGGUCUGUGCUAUCUAGUGUGGCCAGUUCUUAAAUGUGCUUUAUUAAUUAAUGUGCUUCAUUAAGCAAUUAAAUGCCCAAUUAAUAAAAAUUAAAUUAAAAUCUGA